rnacentral:lncRNA from 1 species
GGAAUAUGAAAUGGAAAUGAAGCCUGAAGAAUCAACCGCCUAUCAAACGAAAGCUAAUGGCUCUGAAUUUCCUUUUGCAGCUGAAGGUAGAAAUAACAGUGGUAGAUCCCUUUUUCGCACUGCACAGAGAAGUGCGAGUCGUACUGGAGGAGAAGCACAAUCAUAUAAUUCUGGUACUCGUUCUUCCAAGUCUACGCCCUGCUUGUCUAUUCAAGUAAAAAUGAAUCUGGUAUAAAAAGCAUAUUUUGAGUUGAGAUGAACUCACAAAAUGGAAGCUAGCAAGCGAAUCUCCUCAAUUUUCAGUGAAGCAAACCAACUUCAGUUUAAAAACAGGAAAGUCCUAGUAGAUCAAACUUGUACAUUGAUUGAUAUGAAAACAAAACUGGUAUAGAAUAAAAAGUUUUGGCAUGAGACUAACCUGAGUAUCAGGCAUAGAAAUAUUAAACCUAGAAUGCGUGCUCCUAUCCUAUCUCAGUUAAACAAGUGACGCCACAUUAACUAUUCAAAAUGGCCAAUUUAUAAGGGCAAAUUAAUCUCGCCCCAUGACCUUACGCUAUAGACCGCUACACGGACAAAUCCAACAUGGCCGAUUUAUAAGGGCAUUUUUGUUUUCAAUUUGGACACUGGUCACAUGACCAAGCACGCAUUCUAGGUCUAAUAUUUCUAUGGUAUCAGGCCAUUUACUCUUCGUUAAUUUUAUUGGUGGGGAGGGUAAGAAGGCCUGACACAAAUUCUUAAUACCUGGCCGCAUUAAAAAAGUCAAAAUCUGGCUUUUCAUCUGAUUGGUCU